rnacentral:rRNA from 1 species
UACGUAUGUCGCAAGCGUUAUCCGGAUUUAUUGGGCGUAAAGCGCGUCUAGGCGGUUUUGUAAGUCUGGUGUGAAAAUGCGGGGCUCAACCCCGUAUUGCGUUGGAAACUGCUAAACUAGAGUGCUGGAGAGGUAGGCGGAAGUACAAGUGUAGAGGUGAAAUGCGUAGAGAUGUGGAGGAAUGCCGAUGGGGAAGGCAGCCUCCUGGGCAGAUACUGACGCUAAUGUGCGAAAGCGUGGGUAGCAAACAGG